GAUGAGCGCUGGCGGCGUGCCUAAUACAUGCAAGUCGAGCGAACAGACGAGGAGCUUGCUCCUCUGACGUUAGCGGCGGACGGGUGAGUAACACGUGGAUAACCUACCUAUAAGACUGGGAUAACUUCGGGAAACCGGAGCUAAUACCGGAUAAUAUAUUGAACCGCAUUGUUCAAUAGUGAAAGACGGUUUUGCUGUCACUUAUAGAUGGAUCCGCGCCGCAUUAGCUAGUUGGUAAGGUAACGGCUUACCAAGGCAACGAUGCGUAGCCGACCUGAGAGGGUGAUCGGCCACACUGGAACUGAGACACGGUCCAGACUCCUACGGGAGGCAGCAGUAGGGAAUCGUCCGCAAAGGGCGAAAGCCUGACGGAGCAACGCCGCGUGAGUGAUGAAGGUCUUCGGAUCGUAAAACUCUGUUAUUAGGGAAGAACAAAUGUGUAAGUAACUAUGCACGUCUUGACGGUACCUAAUCAGAAAGCCACGGCUAACUACGUG
rnacentral:rRNA from 1 species